UACGGGGGGAGCAAGCGUUGUUCGGAUUUACUGGGCGUAAAGGGCGCGUAGGCGGCCAGCACAAGUCAGUUGUGAAAUCUCCGAGCUUAACUCGGAAAGGUCAACUGAUACUGUGCGGCUAGAGUGCGGAAGGGGCAACUGGAAUUCUUGGUGUAGCGGUGAAAUGCGCAGAUGAUCGGGAGGAACACCAGUAGCGAAGGCGCUCCCUGGGCCAUUCCUGACGCUGAGACGCGAAAGCGUGGGAGCAAACAGG
rnacentral:rRNA from 1 species